UACAGAGGUCUCAAGCGUUGUUCGGAUUCAUUGGGCGUAAAGGGUGCGUAGGCGGCGCGGUAAGUCGGGUGUGAAAUCUCGGAGCUUAACUCCGAAACUGCAUUCGAUACUGCCGUGCUUGAGGACUGGAGAGGAGACUGGAAUUUACGGUGUAGCGGUGAAAUGCGUAGAUAUCGUAAGGAAGACCAGUGGCGAAGGCGGGGUCUCUGGACAGUUCCUGACGCUGAGGCACGAAGGCCAGGGGGAGCAAACGGG
rnacentral:rRNA from 1 species